GGGGACAACCAGCCGAAAGGUUGGCUAAUACCGCAUGAGUUCUACGGAAGAAAGAGGGGGACCCGCAAGGGCCUCUCGCGAGCGGAGCGGCCGAUGACUGAUUAGCCUGUUGGUGAGGUAACGGCUCACCAAAGCAACGAUCAGUAGCUGGUCUGAGAGGACGACCAGCCACACUGGGACUGAGACACAGCCCAGACUCCUACGGGAGGCAGCAGUGGGGAAUUUUGGACAAUGGGCGUAAGCCUGAUCCAGCUAUUCCGCGUGUGGGAUGAAGGCCCUCGGGUUGUAAACCACUUUUGUAGAGAACGAAAAGACACCUUUUAAAAAAGGGUGUUGCUGACGGUACUCUAAGAAUAAGCACCGGCUAACUACGUGCCAGCAGCCGCGGUAAUACGUAGGGUGCGAGCGUUAAUCGGAAUUACUGGGCGUAAAGGGUGCGCAGGCGGUUGAGUAGGACAGAUGUGAAAUCCCCGAGCUUAACUCGGGAAUGGCAUAUGUGACUGCUCGACUAGAGUGUGUCAGAGGGAGGUGGAAUUCCACGUGUAGCAGUGAAAUGCGUAGAUAUGUGGAAGAACACCGAUGGCGAAGGCAGCCUCCUGGGACAUAACUGACGCUCAGGCACGAAAGCGUGGGGAGCAAACAGGAUUAGAUACCCU
rnacentral:rRNA from 1 species